GAUGAACGCUAGCGGCAGGCUUAAUACAUGCAAGUCGAGGGGCAGCACGGGUAGCAAUACCUGGUGGCGACCGGCAAACGGGUGCGGAACACGUACGCAACUUUCCCAAAACUGGUGAAUAGCCCUCCGAAAGGAGGAUUAAUACACCGUAACAUAAUGAAGUGGCAUCACUUUAUUAUUAUAGCUCCGGCGGUUUUGGUAUGGGCGUGCGCCUGAUUAGGUAGUUGGCGGGUAACGGCCCACCAAGCCUUCGAUCAGUAACUGGUGUGAGAGCACGACCAGUCACACGGGCACUGAGACACGGGCCCGACUCCUACGGGAGGCAGCAGUAAGGAAUAUUGGA
rnacentral:rRNA from 1 species